GAGUGCCAGCCCGCCUUCGAGGUGCCCUACUACAACCGCGGGCUGGUGCGCUACCGGCUGGGAGACUUUGAUGAGGCCAUAAAAGAUUUCAGGAAAGUAUUAGAGUUAAACCCCCAGUUUGAAGAUGCUGCAUUGAGUCUAAAACAGGCUAUUCUUGAUAAAGAAGAAAAACAGAAGCGGGGUUAUUGAAAAUUCAGUGAUGCGAUUCCCAUAAACGUGAUUUUUGUCAUCGAUGGAUAAAACCCAAGAUCAUUUACAUCUGUUAUGACCUGUGGAAGCACUUCAUUCUUAGAUAAAUAAGUUAAAAAUUGGUUAUGAUUGCAAAAGAAACUGGAUUUGGGGUUUUUGUUCUUGAGGGAAUGUGUAAUGUUGAUCUCUGUGAGACACAUCUACAGAUUUUGUACAGAAAUACUUUGUAAUUCUAUAAUGAAUAUUUUGGCCAGAUUAAUUGACAAUAAAAGUGAAAAUGUACUUUUUAUCUCA